UACGGAGGGUGCAAGCGUUAUCCGGAUUCACUGGGGUUAAAGGGUGCGUAGGUGGGUUGGUAAGUCAGGGGUGAAAUCUCCGAGCUUAACUUGGAAACUGCCAUUGAUACUAUCAGUCUUGAAUAUUGUGGAGGUCAGCGGAAUAUGUCAUGUAGCGGUGAAAUGCUUAGAUAUGACAUAGAACACCAAUUGCGAAGGCAGCUGGCUACACAUAUAUUGACACUGAGGCACGAAAGCGUGGGGAUCAAACAGG
rnacentral:rRNA from 1 species